UAGAGGAAAGUUUUUUUCAAAUGCGUGCGAUUCCGCUGGUGCUAUGCCCAGAUUCACUUGCAGUCCCCGCAAGUGCGAGAUGUUAAAUAACUUUUAAAGCGAGCCUAUCUUCUUAUAGGACAAUUUAUUUAUACGGCAGACCGUUCAAAGUCGUGAUCACCACGCCUUGUGAAACAUUCAGGCCACCUCGCACGGUGGAAUCGAAUAAACAUUUUAUUUAAAUAGCGGACUGAGGUUCUUGCGAGUGAAGCCCCUAUUCCAGGGCCCCACUGGCCUAGCGGCUCGUUCGGCCUGGUCCAAGGUUGCCUGCUGGCUUCCCAGGUCCUGCCGGUCGAGUCGCGCCUCCCACAACCUUUCAAAUUCUUCGCGUGCCACGAGGGGAGUGUCACUUGGCGUGGUGCAUGUCCCUUUCCUUCCGCGACAUGUACCUCAGACUACCCGUGCUGCUUCUGGAGCCAAAUCGAGCCCUCUGCUAGCUGCACCACAACUCGCGUUUGCAGCCGAACGAACUUCCGCUCCACGAGCCCGCAGUCUUCGCCCGUCACCGCACUGGCUGUCCCGUCGCUACCUGCACGUCACCCAAACAGCGCUUCCUUCUCUCUCCCUGCCGUUCCGAGCUUGGAGACGGAACGAGGCGACAAGGUCGUUGGGUGGCCGCGUAUGGCAAGAAUACCACGUAAGACAAUUGAGCCGAAUGAACGUGUUAGUAGAGUAGUGCACGACCUCUCUCUGUCGCGCGAGAGGCAGCUGACUCAGCCGCCAACGGUCACGCAGCGCUG